rnacentral:lncRNA from 1 species
AAUACUUUCAACAUGAAGUUCACUCUUUUUUUCGGCUUUGUACUGGCUUUGAUCGCGCUGGCUUUCGCCAAACCAAACCCCAUGCCUAAUUCCAAUCCUAUUGCCGAUUGCGGCGAUGCCGGUCUGGAGCUCGAACAUGGAUGCGGUGGCGGUGGCAAGUAAACUGCUAAGCUGCGUGUAAUGUAUACUCGUCGACGUCUUGAACAUUUUUAGUUUAUGUUUUAAUAAAAAAAAACAACCCCCUCAAGCAAAAUAAA